rnacentral:lncRNA from 1 species
GAGAAUGGGAGUCCCCCCACUGAAACAGCCACAAGAAAAGCUUAGAGCUCCCAAAAAUCCUUGUUUUUAUGCAAUUGGGCAGAGAGAAUUUCACCAAAUAGGAUGAGUCAAAGGAAGAGAAUAAAAGGGAAGGGAAAGACUUGGCCAAAUUGGAUAGAAACCAUUAGGGUUUCUUGGAAAGGAGGAGCUUCCAAUGGCUAUAAAUGAGGCACCUCCUACCCAACAACCAACACACACACAUUCAGAGAGCAAGCUACAUCUCUCCUCCCUGAAACCUCUGUAAUUUCGAGCCCUAUUGCUCCAUCUCUUCCCCUUUUCUCUUCUAUUAAAACAUUCUAGAGCUUGACAGAUUUUUCGUCAACCUGCCGGAAAUUACUCAACACACCCAUUAUACCCCCAUCUCUCUCCUUAUUCAAUAAACCCUUUUAGAAUCCAUUCCCCCUUUCCUUAGAACCCGUCUUUCAUAAGAACUCACAGCUCUCUCUCUGUUUAUGCUAAACUCAUGAUGGUUUUGCUCCCAUGCCACAAGCCUCUCAUGCCAAUCUAAGAAUCUACUUGUAAGCAGUUGUUGUUUUUGUUGGUGAAGAUAACUAAGAUGCUUCCUAAGCUUUACUAC